GAGUGGCGAACUGGUGAGUAACACGUGGGAAACCUGCCCAGAAGCGGGGGAUAACACCUGGAAACAGAUGCUAAUACCGCAUAACAACUUGGACCGCAUGGUCCGAGUUUGAAAGAUGGCUUCGGCUAUCACUUUUGGAUGGUCCCGCGGCGUAUUAGCUAGAUGGUGAGGUAACGGCUCACCAUGGCAAUGAUACGUAGCCGACCUGAGAGGGUAAUCGGCCACAUUGGGACUGAGACACGGCCCAAACUCCUACGGGAGGCAGCAGUAGGGAAUCUUCCACAAUGGACGAAAGUCUGAUGGAGCAACGCCGCGUGAGUGAAGAAGGGUUUCGGCUCGUAAAACUCUGUUGUUAAAGAAGAACAUAUCUGAGAGUAACUGUUCAGGUAUUGACGGUAUUUAACCAGAAAGCCACGGCUAACUACGUGCCAGCAGCCGCGGUAAUACGUAGGUGGCAAGCGUUGUCCGGAUUUAUUGGGCGUAAAGCGAGCGCAGGCGGUUUUUUAAGUCUGAUGUGAAAGCCUUCGGCUCAACCGAAGAAGUGCAUCGGAAACUGGGAAACUUGAGUGCAGAAGAGGACAGUGGAACUCCAUGUGUAGCGGUGAAAUGCGUAGAUAUAUGGAAGAACACCAGUGGCGAAGGCGGCUGUCUGGUCUGUAACUGACGCUGAGGCUCGAAAGUAUGGGUAGCAAACAGGAUUAGAUACCCUGGUAGUCCAUACCGUAAACGAUGAAUGCUAAGUGUUGGAGGGUUUCCGCCCUUCAGUGCUGCAGCUAACGCAUUAAGCAUUCCGCCUGGGGAGUACGGCCGCAAGGCUGAAACUCAAAGGAAUUGACGGGGGCCCGCACAAGCGGUGGAGCAUGUGGUUUAAUUCGAAGCUACGCGAAGAACCUUACCAGGUCUUGACAUACUAUGCAAAUCUAAGAGAUUAGACGUUCCCUUCGGGGACAUGGAUACAGGUGGUGCAUGGUUGUCGUCAGCUCGUGUCGUGAGAUGUUGGGUUAAGUCCCGCAACGAGCGCAACCCUUAUUAUCAGUUGCCAGCAUUAAGUUGGGCACUCUGGUGAGACUGCCGGUGACAAACCGGAGGAAGGUGGGGAUGACGUCAAAUCAUCAUGCCCCUUAUGACCUGGGCUACACACGUGCUACAAUGGAUGGUACAACGAGUUGCGAACUCGCGAGAGUAAGCUAAUCUCUUAAAGCCAUUCUCAGUUCGGAUUGUAGGCUGCAACUCGCCUACAUGAAGUCGGAAUCGCUAGUAAUCGCGGAUCAGCAUGCCGCGGUGAAUACGUUCCCGGGCCUUGUACACACCGCCCGUCACACCAUGAGAGUUUGUAACACCCAAAGUCGGUGGGGUAACCUUUUAGGAACCAGCCG
rnacentral:rRNA from 1 species